rnacentral:rRNA from 1 species
UACGAAGGGGGCUAGCGUUGCUCGGAAUUACUGGGCGUAAAGGGCGCGUAGGCGGAUAGUUUAGUCAGAGGUGAAAGCCCAGGGCUCAACCUUGGAACUGCCUUUGAUACUGGCUAUCUUGAGUUCGGGAGAGGUGAGUGGAAUGCCGAGUGUAGAGGUGAAAUUCGUAGAUAUUCGGCGGAACACCAGUGGCGAAGGCGACUCACUGGCCCGUUACUGACGCUGAGGCGCGAAAGCGUGGGGAGCAAACAGG